rnacentral:rRNA from 1 species
CCUACGGGGCGCAGCAGUGAGGAAUAUUGGUCAAUGGCCGGAAGGCUGAACCAGCCAUGCCGCGUGAAGGUCAGUGCCCUAUGGGCGUUAAACUUCUUUUGUGCGGGAGCAAUCAUGGUCACGUGUGGCCAGACGAUAGUUCCGUACGAAUAAGCAUCGGCUAACUCCGUUCCAGCCGCGGCGGUAGUACGGGGGAAUCAAGGGUUAUCAGGAGUUAUUGGUUUUAAAGGGUGCGUAGGCUGUGAUGUAAGUCAGUGGGGAAAUGCCCGCGCUGAACGGGGAGAAGUGCCAUUGAUACUGCCUUGCUGGAAUGCAGAUGCCGUGGGAGGAAGGUGUGGUGUAGCGGUGAAAUGCAUAGAUAUCACACAGAACACCGAUUGAGAAGGCAUCUCACGAAUCCGCGAUUGACGCUGAUGCACGAAAGCGUGGGUAUCAAACAGGAUUAGAUACCCCAGUAGUC